UAAAGUCUAUAUACCUGUCUGAUCUCAGAAGCUAAGCAGAGUCGGGCCUGGUUAGUACUUGGAUGGGAGACCACCUAGGAAGACCAGAUGCUGUAA
rnacentral:rRNA from 1 species